rnacentral:rRNA from 1 species
GUGGGGAAUUUUGGACAAUGGGCGCAAGCCUGAUCCAGCCAUGCCGCGUGAGUGAUGAAGGCCUUAGGGUUGUAAAGCUCUUUCAGUAGGGAAGAUAAUGACGGUACCUACAGAAGAAGCCCCGGCUAACUUCGUGCCAGCAGCCGCGGUAAUACGAAGGGGGCUAGCGUUGUUCGGAUUUACUGGGCGUAAAGCGCACGUAGGCGGAUUGGUCAGUUAGAGGUGAAAUACUGGAGCUCAACUCCAGAACUGCCUUUAAUACUGCCAGUCUAGAGUCCAGAAGAGGUGAGUGGAACUCCUAGUGUAAAGGUGGAAUUCGUAGAUAUUAGGAAGAACACCAGUGGCGAAGGCGGCUCACUGGUCUGGUACUGACGCUGAGGUGCGAAAGCGUGGGGAGCAAACAGGAUUAGAAACCCUAGUAGUCC